CCUACGGGGGGCUGCAGUGAGGAAUAUUGGUCAAUGGCCGGAAGGCGGAACCAGCCAAGUAGCGUGAGGGAAGACUGCCCUAUGGGUUGUAAACCUCUUUUAUGCGGGGAUAAAGGUGUCCACGUGUGGAUGUUUGCAGGUACCGCAUGAAUAAGGACCGGCUAAUUCCGUGCCAGCAGCCGCGGUAAUACGGAAGGUCCGGGCGUUAUCCGGAUUUAUUGGGUUUAAAGGGAGCGUAGGCCGGUCUUUAAGCGUGCCGGGAAAUUUUGUGGCUCAACCAUGAGAGUGCGGCGCGAACUGGAGACCUUGAGUGCGCGGAAGGCAGGCGGAAUUCGUGGUGUAGCGGUGAAAUGCUUAGAUAUCACGAAGAACCCCGAUUGCGAAGGCAGCCUGCCGCAGCGUUACUGACGCUGAAGCUCGAAAGCGCGGGUAUCGAACAGGAUUAGAUACCCUGGUAGUC
rnacentral:rRNA from 1 species